UUCACAAUCAGACUCUACCUCCUCUGUUUUCUCUGCAAUUAUUUCUAGACCAGUUCCAAUAAAAAGAGCCAAUUUGGUGACCACUCCUGGCUUUUUGGAUUCAGCUGAAAAGAGGAAGUCACAUCCUUGUUUCUUUCUCGCGUGUUGUAGUCCCACAUGGAAGGUGAGUGAGGGCAGUAUGGCGGAGGCUCUACUCUAUAAAGCGAGGGAAGGGGCACGUUGAAACAUACUUACCUGGACGGGGUCGAUGGGUGAUCAACAAGGCCCAUGGCCUAGGUCAGUGACCUCCAUUGCACAUUAGGAGGGGUGCUGCCCUAAGGUCUGUCCAAUGUGGCAGAGCCUACGUCAUAAUUUGUGGUAGUGGGGGCCUGCGUCCGCGCGGCCCCUGUUCCAAUUCUAGUUUCAAUUUUUUCUCCUUCCGAAUUAUCAAACCAACGUCUUGUGUGCGUCGCUUGGGUUAUGCUCGCUGGUAAGCUGCUUGCCAAAAUGCCAUGACGGCUGCUGUUGGUUCAAGGCGAUUGUUGCUAGUAGUGUGGAUCAAGCUGAUCUUUUUCAUCCACCUGGCCUCGACGGACUACGUGCGAUAUACGAGAUCUAGUUUCGGGAGAAGGAGAGCCUCUUCCUCGAGAAUAUGGGUGUUUCCCACUUUGGGGGCUGGUGCAAGGGAUUUGUUCAAGUUGGAACAACGAAAACUAAAAUUUGGAGUUACAAAAACAUCUCUUUCGUUCACUAAAAUGCAAGAAAGAAACAAAGACCUAGUGAGAGGAGGUUUAAAUCAUGUGGGCAAUCUUUCAAAUGUUCCUCGGUAAUGUUUCAUCUGCUUCUUCUUCUGUACGAAGAAUGCAACCAGUGCUGUCAGAGAAACAUUAGUCUUCACUUUUCAUCACUUCUGCAACCAUGGGUCCUAUUUCAGUGAACUGACUUUGAUUUCCGAGGUAAUUGGAACCAAGGAUGUUUAACCCGAAUGGAUUGUGCAUGCGAUA